rnacentral:lncRNA from 1 species
AAAAAAAUAAAUAUUCACUAACAGAAGUCAAUUUUUAUUUUCUACUUUUCUUCAGGUUGAAAAAUUCGAGCAGUAUACCCAGUGACUGCUUAUCAUAGUGUUUCUAAUAUUUUCACUGCACUAUUUGAUACUCUUUUGGUAUCCGUAUGUGCUUUAGUCCUAGAGUGAGGCAGAAGCUAAUGAGGCAAUCUUAUUGAGGAUCUCGAUGUAAUGUUUCAUAGUUUGAUUUUGUUAAUGCAGAAAUUCUUGUCUAUAUUGCUUUGCGGCUUGCAUUCCAGAGUCUGGGAGUAGUGUAUGGAGACUUGGGAACAUCUCCAUUGUAUGUGUUCUACAAUACUUUUCCCAAUGGGAUAGAUGAUACAGAGGAUAUUAUUUGUGCUCUUUCAUUAAUUAUCUAUUCGCUUACGCUAAUACCUCUCCUCAAGUACGUUUUCAUAGUAUGUGGAGCAAAUGACAGUGGUCAAGGUAAGCUGAUGUCAUGCUACAAAAUGUUGUGAUUAUUUAUGCAUAUUUCAAUUUAAGCAGGUUAUGAGAUUGUUACUUCCGACAUAUCAUCAUUGGUAGCCUUAAUUGUUUCUAGUAAUGAAUACUUUUGUCUCUUUGCCUGUGAGUAUGUGUUAUAAAACUGGUGAUGUUAGCACUAGUCGAAAGGCAUCUUUAAUUGGCUGAGAAGCGUGCUUUAUUUGUUAUUUGUAUAAUGCAAGGAUCAGUUUACGUAUGGAUUAGUAGGAAAAUGCCUCAAAUUUUGCCCCCAAGAAUCGAACAUCAGCGUCUUAUAUAUACAUCAAUGACUAGUGUUUCUUUAAUCUUUUGCAAACCUCCAGUUAUAGUUACUUUUUUGGAUCGUCUAUCAUUGAUGAAUUGUUGGAAGAUUCUUGUCAGAGUUUUUUCUUAAAGAAUUAAAUUAGAACACAAGUCUUGUAAUCUGCAAAUAUGUCCUAUGAUGGAAUGUUUUCCAGGAACCAUCUGUCCAUGUUGAUUUGGGGGGACUUGAGAGCAGAUAUGUCAUAACAAAGGAAUGCCAGGAGGCUAAUAAAUUAGUGGAAAUUGGGGAUGCAUCAUUUCAUUAACAUUAUAAUCACAUUUAUUAUCCUUACCUUUCGAAGAUAUGGUAGUAAAAGGGAAACACCGGCAUGUUCUAAGCAAUAUAUUCAUCCUACAAAUUUUGGUAUUGGUCAUAUGACUCGGUUGAGUAUAAAAUUGUGAGAAGCUGUUAAGUUGAUUCAGUUAGCCUUUCUGACUGACUUAAAAAUAAAUCAGGGGGUUAAUUGUCUUCUUGAAAAAUAGAAGUCAGGGGGUUAAUAUUCUUCAGUAAGAGUAUCCUGAAAAUGAUGACAAUGUAUGUUGAGAUAAAUUGGAGAUUAAUUGAAAAGUCAAAGAAACUGAGUUUGGAUUAGUUGACUGAGAGUUCUAAUUAUUAUUCCAAAUUUCACUCGUCUUUGUCUCUGGGUGUGCAUAUAGAAAGAUGAAAAAGAAAACAAAAUUGACACUUUGGACAUUAUUCAGGGGCACCUUUGCACUUUAUUCAUUACUUUGUCGACAUGCCAAAGUCAAAACAAUCCCAACCAACACCGCACUGAUGAGGAGCUGACAACUUACAGCCGUAGCACAUUCCAUGAGCUUUCAUUUGCAGCGAAAACGAAGAGAUGGCCGGAGGCGAAUACAUUUAGAAAGAAUGCUCUUCUUAUACUAGUACUUGUUGGCACUUGCAUGGUUGUUGGGAAUGGAAUUCUCACUCCUGCUAUAUCAGGUAAUUUAUGUCUUUCACCUAUAGUUUCCUUUAUUCAUGCUUGUACAUUUUCAUGUUAAUUUUCCAACUGACUUGUAUUGCACGGAAACAUGUAUGCCUUCAUUGGAGGCAGUCCUGUGUAUGUAGUUGGAGAUUGUAGUUUAUGAGAUGCUUCUUACUUCAGAUUGAAGGCAAUAUGUGAACAAUGCCACAUUUCCUUUUCUCAGUGAUGCAUGUGGCAAUAGAUGAAAUUUGUUUACAGGUCUUCCCUUCAAAAAGGAACCAAAGAGAACUGAUAAAUUUUGUCCAUUUUCUCCAACGAUGGCAACAGAUGCCAAUAUCUCAAGCGAUUGCAUAAAACUAACGCUAAUUUCUGAUUUUGGAUCUAUUUAUAGGAUUCAUGGUUUGCAGUCCCAGAAGCAUAAAUUGAAUUCACCAGACUCUUUAGUUUCUAAUUGGGAUGACAAACUAUUUUGAAAUCACAAACAACACAUGUUGCCAACAUGUCUGAAACUUUACGGCUUCUUUAGCACAAGAUGAUAGUCUUUUUCAGCAAUUGGAAUUUUGACUGUAGGUUAUCAACCACCAUCAAUUUAGUUGUUCUUUUAACGCUGGAUGUUCAGAUCAGGUUAAAAUGAGCAUAUUUGUAUAGGUCUUGAUAUGAGUGAAAAAAGGGGGCUGUUCAUGUGCUAAUUUGCUGCCACACUCCACCCCCACCAAUUGGGAUUUUGAUUGUUCAUUUCUUGCUUAUUGACAUAAAAAUAAAAUUCCUAAGAGGAAGUUUGAGUCAUACCACAUUAAUAUUUUAAUUGGAAGCUUUGUAAAUAUUUCAUUGUAAUAAAUGCAAAUGUGACUGGGCACAAGCUGAUGCAUGAUUUUAGAGCCCACAGUAGGGAUCACAAAGUAGUAGUAGUGUGAAUAGAAUGAUGCAUAAUUUGCCCAGUUCUCUUGCUCAUCUAUGGCUUAAGUAAUCCAUGUAUCAAAAUCAAAUUCAUUACAUCCUUAUACUCUGGAAAUCAAGUGAUAUAGAAUUGUAGUGAUUUUUCGGGCUGGCUUAGUUUUGUUUCAUUAUAUUUCUCCCUUAUAACAUGACAACCUUAGAUUAAUCCAUUGAUUCUUUAGUUCAUACAACCACAUCUUUAGGGAAAAUAUCAAAUCCAUAUAAUCCAAAACACCCACUUUCUAUUCUCAUACAAGAAGGUACUUUCUCAAUAGCUUUUUGAGAUUACUGAAAAAUUGAGAAAAGUUGGACAGAAGCAUAGGUAGAAUACAAGAACAAGGAGUUUUUCAUGAUCCACCAGAGAUAUACAAUUCUAAAAGAUCAGGAAUAUGUGUGAGUUAAGCACAUUUCAAUGGGUCUUGGAAAUUGCAGGAAGUAGAUCAACAAGUCUAGUGGGAUCUCAAAAAACUAUAAGUCUAGUGGGAUCUCGACAAUUCUAAAGGUUGGAUCGUAUUGUAAGUUCAUUGUUAUCUAUAGUGGAGGUUACUGGCUUAAUCUUGAAGUUUUUGCCUAGUUGGAUUUUCUCUGUCAACAUAUUUGAUGUUCUUUAUUACUUUCAUAUUGAUAUUUGCGAUAAUUCAAUUUGACUUAUUUGAUUAACCAACUAGAAACAAUUAAAAAGUGACUUGUUUUUUUAAUAGUGUAAUUCUGCACAUUGGGUUAAGGCUAAUUUGAACUUUCACAAUCAGAUCUUAGAGCAGAGUAUUAAUUUACUUUUCCUUCCCCUGAUCAGAUGUUUGAGGAUAACUAUAGUCAACUAAGUGCAGAAAAUACAGCAAGAAAUAAAUGUAUACUGCACAACAUGUAUACAAUCAAAGGACAUUACCGUUUGCAAAACAUUAUAAAGUGCAACUUCUCUUAAGUUUACAAGUAGUAAUGAGAACAAUUUUAUUGCUCAUUACAAAUCCAGAACUCUAAAAAAAUACUAAGAGAGACUAGAAAAACUCCAAAAUCUCAUCUAAUUAUCAGUUUUCUUUGCGUAUUGUAAGGAAUAAUAACAUAUUUCAUGUAUCUUUUCUAUGCAAACUUUUGACACUACAUGAACUUAAUUAAUUUGCUCAACUCCGGUACUGGUAAAAUGAAUUCAUAAACUGACUGCGAUAAGCUAUCAGAUGUUGGGCAAGGAUAUUAGAAAUUGGAUUUUCAACUCUAAUUUCAAUCUAGCUAGGCGUAUGUUGGCUCGAUAUCUUCUAAUUCAACUACCAGUUGAUUGCUAACACGAGUGUCAAGUAUCCAAGGCAUGACUUUGCAUGAGAAAACUCCAACUGAUCAUUGCAUUCAAGUUCUGGUUCUAAUUUGUAAAUUUUCGAAUAUCUUAUCCUUUGUCUGCUUCUACCGCCAUCAAGCUGCUAAAGAUAAUGAUCAAGUAAAAUACGUCAGGAAAAACACAAGCAAAGUAAAUGUAAACAUCAAUAUUUUACUAUUCCUUCGACAUUAUUGAAAUCACUUUAAUAAGUGACUAAUGCACAAACUCGUGUUACAUUUUAUGUCAAGUUAGGCUGUGAAAGGAAAGAAAGAUUUAACCGAACAUAUUCAACCAGUUCGAGCUUUUAUAUGAUUUUUAGACGAGCCACUUAUUGUACGCUUUGUUUGGUGAUGCUUUUUGAAAUUAUAAGCAGUGUUGUAUGUACUUCACAGUAUAUAAAGGGUAAUGGUGAUUAUUAAGUGACGAGACUUGGUGUUUAAGAGGUAAUGAAAAAGAUGAGACUUUGUUGAAAUCCGAGGGAUGGAACUGAAUUAAAGCAACAAAGCUUAAUAUAUUAUUUUUGGCUGCAGAUACAGUCAUCUUCAAUUGACAGUUAAUUCAUAUUUUUUAGGGAUUUAAAUAUCCUAAUAUAUUCUCAUCUUUUUCAUUAGCAUAUCGAAUUUGCUACCCUCUAAAUCAUAUACUUAUAUGUCUGAUCAUUUAAAGAAAAUGCUUGCAAUAUCUUUUAAAUCAUAUAUAUGUUGGUAGUAGAGCAUUAUACGAUGUUGGACAGGAAAAUGCACAAGUUGCAAAGUACAUUUCUGUGUGCGCGCAAACUUGAUAGCUGCUACUACUGACAUUGGAAUGCAUACAGAAACCGAUGCUCAUCCAAUUGUUGAAGAAUUAAUCCCGCAAUCUUCCAAGCAGUUUCCAAUAGAAGAUUGAAAAAGAAAGCCGCAAUAGUGAUCGUGCUGAGACUAAUGACGAAUCGAAUAAAUGCUUUGGGAAACAGUUUCUUUAUGUUUGCAAUAUCUUUUAAAUCAUAUAUAUGUUGGUAGUAGAGCUUUAAACAAUGUUGGACAGGCAAAUGUCCAAGUUACAAAGUACAUUCUAUGUGCGCGCAAACUUGACAGCUGCUACUACUGAGAUUGGAAUGAAUGUGCAGGAACCAAUGCUCAUCCAAUUGUUGAAGAAUCAAUCCAGCAAUCUUCCAAACAGUUUUCAAUAGGGGACUUGAAAAAGAAAGCUACAAUAGGGAUUGUGCUGAGACUAAAGACGCAUUGAAUAAAGGCUUUGGGAACAGUUUUCUUCAAUUCUGAGGAUGGUAGUGCUAUUGCAAGGAAAUCCCCUGCUACGGGUAUUGUAAAGAACUCCUAUAAUAUUGCAAAGAAAUCCUCUAGUGUUUUGUGCCAAUUGCAAUUCAACAAAUGAGCAGAGACAUUUUUUCACUGUUUCAAAUAGAGUGGUAGUGGAUCCAUAUUUAAAUAACGUCACAGCAGUUAAGCAAACGUUCUAUUUGGGAAUUUGUUGUCAAACGACCUCCUUGG